rnacentral:lncRNA from 1 species
AAAUGGAGAUAUUUGUAAUUUAUGGAAGAUUUUAUGUAUUAUGUAAGAUGCUGUUUUUUUCUUUUUUGAGAAAAAUAAAAAAUUGAUGUUGUCUUAUGACAACAAAUGCCAUGUUUUUAUAUAUAUGUUUUUACCUUCCUAUAAAAUUACAGUUAAGAUCAUCUGUGAGCUUUGCAACAUAUGGCAACCAUGCUCGUGAGCCUUUGCAUCAUAUAGCUAAGCAUUUAUGAGCCCUUCCUUUAUCAAGAAAUUACGUGUCAGAUGGACACCGUCCGCAGCUUCUCAUAUCGAAAAUGAUCACUCCAUCGAUUUUUUUUAUCUGAUACUAUUACUGAUCACUCCAUCAAUUUUUUUUGUCUGCUAGUCUCAUAACAAAUGUCCUAUUAAGCUUCAUUAGUUUUCAUCACUGAGUUGCAAGUGGUAUAAAAGGGUUGCAACUACGCAUGCUAUUCUCAUCUCAAAUUUGAUCUGUUUAGUUACUGUUAUACAGCCACCAGAUGUCAUGUGGUGGUACCUAUGCAAAGAUAGCAGAGCCGCCUGGGUACAAGGACAAAACAAAAGCUUCAAAAGGUGAGAAUUUACUAUUUAAUUGACAGAUUUGAUACUCUGGAUGUCUUCUUGCUGUACUUCUUAUCAUUGUGUCUACUUCGAAACUUUUAGAUUAAUAUGCUGGUGAUAUUCUUUGCAAUGUUGUUGAGUUGUCUUGCAUGAUGAUUUUGUUUUCGUUGGUUGGUUUUAAUUGCACUAGUGAACAUGAUCCUACAUUAGUGCUCUAAAAGAUGCUGGGGGCUACUAUCUGGCUUGAACUGGAAUCAUUAAGUUCUUUGGAUAUUAGCAAGUUGCACAGUAAUUUUUAGAACUGAGUAGCAAAUUAUUGUCAGGACUACCAGAGUAGCUAACUCUUCUCUUUUCUUGAAACAUUUUCUCACAACUCAUGCACUUACCAAUCAGGUGUGCAAAAGACUCUUGACAUCAAGCCCGAAAAGCCCAAUGUAGCUAUACUGAAUAAUCAAGGAUCACAUAAAUCAGGUGUGCAAAAGAAUCUUGAGAUCAGGCUGGAAAAGCCCAAUGUAGCUAUACCGAGUAAUCAAGUAUCACAUAAAUCAGGUGUGCAGAAGAAUCUUGAGAUCAAGCCUGAAAAGCCCAAUGUGGUUAUACCAAGUAAUCAAGGAUCACAUAAAUCAGGUGUGCAAAAGGAUCUUGAGAUUAAGCCUGGAAAGCCCAGUGUAGUUAUACUGAGUAAUCAAGGAUCACAUAAAUCAGAAGGAAUGACCGAUAACUGUGAUACUAGGAUGCCACACGUGAUAACACAUUUCUUCCAUACUACUUGUGAUAAAAAAAGGACUAUGCACAGCAGUUCCCUAGAGUUCGAAAAACCAAAGAUCGUCGAGUCAAAGAUAAAAGAGACUUUUGUGGUUCCAGGAAAACAGAAGAAUGCAAAUUCACUGGAAUCAAAGAAACGAAAAUGCAAUAAUACAAUCAGGCAGCAAUUUGGUAAAGGUAAGAAAGAGUUCAUGGUGGCUAGUGCAUGGCUGGGUUAUUAUGCGGAUGAAGAAAGCGACGAAGAUAUAGAGCCUUUGAUCAACAAGAGAACGGAGAGAAGGAAAAGGCAAAAGAUACUGAAGAAGACAAUGGCUGCAACCCGAGAAAACAUAGCCUUUGCAACUCUCCCUCUUGAUCCAAGUAGGUCCCAGAAAGGCAGUGCCAAAGACUUCUCGUUGGUGCCUCAUGAAAAUUGUGAUGGUGGAGCUCAGAUUGUCAAUGUCGAGAAUGUUUCUGCAAUUGAUUCAGAUGAAAUUCUUGACGCUGAACCUCUUGAUCAUUCUGCACCUCUCCCGUUACCUGGUUUGCCUUACGCAUCGCCCUCGAAAUCACCAGCUCAAGACAUUGUGAUAUACAUCUCAGACGAUUCAGAUUAGCUCGUUUGUCUGAUAUGGAGCCUGGCGGAUUUGUCAGUUCUAUGCAAUGGGGUGGAUUCGGAUAUGAUUCUCUGCGAGCAUUUUUGGCAAAGCAGCACAUUUUGAUUUAUCUCAGAUGACUGACAGCUCUUUUUUUCUUUUUCUUUUUCUUUUUUCUUUUUCUUUUUUUUUUUCUCUUUUCCUUUAUGGGGCAUGGUAAGACUUUGUUUUCAGCUCUAGCGCUAACUUAAUUAGGAGAUCAUACUGACAGUGUAGAGUCAAAUAUAGGCAGAUAUCUAUAUACACAAGGAUGACAUGAACGUGCGUACAUACCGCGUGUAAAUAUUUUGCUGAACAUUCUGUACUUAUUUGUGCAAGGUCCAUAUACAGUUACUUAUUUAACCUACAAGGUUGUACAGAUUUCGUAAUCUGCUGUUCUUUUAGCUGCUUUUAAUCGGUAUGAGAAACAUGCAAUACAUUCUUCAAACCGGUGGGAAUCUCGUGUAAUGGAACACAGUAUACUCCGGACGAGCUACCAUCACCUAUGCGCAAACUAGCAUCAUAUUAUCCAAUAUCUGUUUAUCCAUGACCGGAAUUAUCCAAUAUCUGUUUAUCCAUGACCGGAAUAUCUUAACUAGGCAAUUAGAUUACAGUAAGCUUCUUUCUGUACCUCGGACUCAAAAAGUUCGUGAAGAUGAGACACAUAGCAUGGCAUGUUAAAAUCUCCUGCGCUCGUACAGAUACAGGUAUUCAGAAAUGAUGCUACUAGAAAAACAUAGGUGACUCCAGAAGUUUCAAGUGUUUUUGUUUUUUCAUACAUUUCCGAUAAAUUGUAGCAUGGGAAUGGGAAAAUAGAGAAAUUAGAACACGAAAUUAAGCCAGACUACACUGUGACCCAAAAACCCCUGAUUUAAAAAGUAAAACAAUCCAUAACGCAGCUUUGUACACAAUUGUGAUCUUGACCAGAAUAGAAGAAUGAUAAGAGAAGGGGGGAACAUAAAACAUAGGUGUGUUCCCACUUCAAACUAAGUAUUGACAGUACAGAAUGCUAGGCGAUGGAUAGGCACGCACUUUAAAACUCAUUGUUCUUCGAACUCGUGCAUGUGAUCCAGAAGAUAGUUUGCGGCCAACUCCUCAUUCCUGUUGCAGGCAAAGAACACCUCCAAAACCAGUUGACGGUCAAAGCCCAUUGCUUCAAGCUGCCUCAGACAUGUCAAUUAUAUUGGCAAAACGUAAAAUUUCAGACAACAAAAAAAAAAAAAAAAAAAAAAAAAAAAAAAAAGGAACUAAAAAAACACAGCAGCCACAUAUGAACUGACUCAGGAGUCUAAUUCCUACUUUUAUUCAACAUAGACAUUUUUGCAUCCUACUGUGAAUCUAUGUCUUUUGAAGUGCAAAAAUUGUCAACAAUAGCAACAAAAGGAAGGGAGACAUGAUCGACUUACACGCUCGAUGGCUUCUCGGUCCUGUGGAGUAACUUGUAGGGCUUGUGGUAUUUCACCUGCUAACCGACCUAGUAAAUCCCUAAUCGGCACAAAUAAACUAAAUUAGUAAGUGCCCAUCCUACUAGCUCAAAGAUGCUUGUUAAUUAUUUGUAUGAUAAACAUUUCUAACCCCUCUGCUCCCUCAGCAGGUUCAUUAAUCAGCCGCAGAAACUCAGCUUGAUUUUCCUGAAUCAGCCGCAAAAUCUGAGGAUUUUGUUUUCCGAGUUCUUGAAGCAUUGGCUACAGAUAGCGGGUACUAUAGUCAGUCGACAAAGAAUAAGGAACGCGAGUACUACAAUGUUCUAAAGCAUAAAAGUAGAGACCUGUAGGAUCUGAGGAUUAGCCUGCACUAGCGUCAGCAAGUUUCGGAACUGCAGAGGAAAAGAAAUUAAUUGAACUAUCAGUUUUGUAACUAGCAAUUGUUCUCACUCAUCAAAAUAAGUAACAUCAACUACCUGGGGACUAUUGCGUAUCAUAUCAAGGCUGCCUGCGGCAUUUGAUGGAAAACUUGGAAGACCCUGUUGGAAGUAAGUGAUGAUGAGUUGGGCGCAUGCACACAUGCACAGGCAACAUGCAUGUCCCAAAAAGGUACUACUACUACUACUAUGCUGUCGCAAAUGCUAUACAACCUGAGGAAAGAGGUCCAGCGGAUUGGCAUUGGGCCCACUGGAAGGAACUGCGGGUUGAGGUUGUUGCGAAGCUUGAACUGAGGGAUUAGCUGGUUGGCCACUUGCAGGCGCUCUAGCAGCAGGAGGUGCUUCAACAUUCUCAGGAAUACCCUGAUAAAACAAGCCAAAAGAAUAACUUAAUUGUAUCAAGAAACUAAUGGACACCAAAAAGCAUUAGCUAAACUGAAAAUCAGGAUGUAGAAAGAAAAUUGAUCUGCGGAAAGUCAUUUUAUAUUCUUGCAAAUUCUUUCCGAGUAAAUACUGGACAGGAUUCAUGCAGGAUAAAAUAAUAUUCUCAACAUUGAAAAAAAAAACAACUUGCAGAGUGCGGAGAAUCAAAAACACUUGUUCUUUAAAAAAAAAAUUUAUUACAUCCAGCUGAAUGAGGCAUCCUACCAACUACAAAAAAAAGAUACUAUGGUAGCAGAGAGAUAAAACAGCAGUUCAAGAAGUCGAAUGUUACAGGAAAAAUCCAACUUCGCCACUCAAACUUAAAAUAAGAACUUGCGUCCUAAACAUGAAGUCAUAUUGUUAGCUUAAGGCAUGCUAAAGCUAUAUGAAAAAAUUCAUCCACUCCGAAAGGAGGAAUUAAUGCAAAAGCAAAUAGUAUCUUACAGAAUAUAGAUAUUCAACAGCUCUCUCAGGGUUGUUGUAUGCCGCACGAAGAGCACGAACAACAGUGUCUCUGUCCCAUGUCCCCCCACCCAUGUCAAGAAUUUGUUGGAUAGUUUGUUCCAACUUGCCGCCUGCAAUGAGAUUUGAAGCGGCUUGACCAUAUGCAUCAACUUCAGUGCUGUCCAAAGGUAAAGAAUAUAGCAUGGUUUUAAUAAGAGAUUCAAGAUAUCAAAUUGGAUCAAGACUAAACGGAUCAGUGAAGUUAUCAGGCACAAAAGAAGGCAACGAUAUACGUUUAAGUAAAUUCAUAUUUAAAAUGCCAACUACCAAACUAGUAUUGCAGCAUGACAUCAAGAUUACUGCAAAUAACAUAAUGAACCUGGACAAAAGAAGAGAAUGUGAUUCAUUUUUCCUUUUAAGAAAGACUUCAACUAGUUCAAUUAUUAAACUGAUAAUAAAUGGAAUCUGAAAAGUAAACCACGUUGUUUUGUUUAAAUGUUCGCUACUAUCUCUAUGGGGGUGUUUGGUUCCCUGGAAAAUAUAUGCCAAGAAACAGUUUUGUAGCUGGAAAAUACUUUUUCUUCUGCUUGGUUCCCUGGGAAUCUUUUUCCCAGAUUUCAUAGAAAACUAGUGUUUUCACUUUCCAGUUUUUUUCAUCCUGAAAACGAAUACUCUGGAAAAUGGCGUUUUCCAUGGAAAACUUUUUACUGGAAAACAGUUUUUGAGAGUUUCCAAGGAACCAAACACCCCCUAUAAGUGCCUGCAAGAAUUUAAUGUCCUUCAUGCGUUCCUACAACAAAUUGGUCUGCUAUGCCAAUUUGGUAGCUCAUAACCAAAGUAGCACUGGUACUGCAGUCACUAAAGUAGCCUAUAAGAUUCAAUUCACCCUUGUAUAAUGGCAUGAAAAUCAAUCCAUAAAACAUCUUAUGUAGCAACAUGCUUCCUGUCCAACAAAUUCCUUGUGUUACAAAUCCAACUUAUUACUGAUGCCACUGGCGCCCACGAAAAGGCAUUUUUACAUUGGAAAAGUUAACAAUAUUUCAAUUCAUUCAGGCUUCCAACUGCUUCUUUGGCCUCACUGGAUCUUUGGCAAAGAAUAUAGUACCAGUAAAGCUGUUUAAAAAGCCCUGAGCCCUAACAGCCGUCUUCUCUUAAAAAUUUUUGCCAACUCAAGCAGAAGCAGAAAUUUCCACACAUGUUCUGUUUUUGAUCAAAAAGCCUAAUUCAGCAUCAGUUCUAGCCAGAAUGUUAAGGCUUACUCAUUGCCCAAGAGCUGGCUACUGCUUCUCAAGUACACAGCUUUCCGAGAAGCUAGGCCAAACUGACACUGAAUCUCAGUAACAAGGUUAUCCAUUUUACAGAUUACUCCAAACAUGAUUGAUAACAUUCACUAGGUAAUUAACAUGGUCCAGUUUAUUAGACUGCUGAGAUGAAACAAAUACGAAAGCAAGAUAAUUUCGUGGUCAGAAGUAAUACAUAUCUGUUACAGGAUGAACUUACGAUACACUGACAGCAGGAGCAGGGGCAGCUGUGGCAGUUGGAGUAGGUGCACUUGCAGGUGGCCUGCUUCACAUGAAACACAAAGGACAAAACUAACAGAGAGUGAAAUUUAUCUCAGGGCAUACAUGAUAGACAAAAACUCACGGUUGCAAAGUUGCUGCCGGUGCUUGAGUUGUUGCUGAUGCCGUUGUUGAAGGGACAGGAGGUACCGUACUAGUAGGGGGCGGCUAAAGCCAAGAGAAAAGAAAAUCAUUUGCAUAGGCCCAAAUAGAUAUAUCAAUGCUGAUACUGUUGCAUUUACAUAUUUCUUCACUAGUUUUCUUUUCCUAUCAAACUGGUUUGCAUUUGUUAGGGCAUACCAUUUCUCAUAUCCCUACUAGCUUUUGCAAUUUACCACAAUGGCUUUACCUAAAUCUAACAAAAUAACGGCACAAAAAGUUGCAAUUACCACAACUAUCAAAUAUUAUCUGAAAACAAAUCAUGGUCAGCUUUAAGUACUCAUGCAACAAUGAUUUCCCAGGAGCUCAUCCAGUGAUAUCAACUAACCUUGACUAGAUGAAAUCUAAUCAAGCAUCAAGGAUAUUUUUCAAGAUAAAUCAGAAGUACCAUAUAAAAUGCUAUAAUUAGAUUUUUUAUUUUUUUGGCUAAUUAGAUUACUAUAAUGCAACAUGACAAAGGAAUAAUUUAACCAGAACAGUCUAACAAUCUAGAUUUUCGAAACUCAAGUUCAAACAAGUACCAUGAAAAAAAUAUUGUACCAAACUAACAGUAAACAUAUAACAACUGUGUACUAAAUAUUGUUAGUUUGACAAACCUUGAGAUAAAUUUAAAAGAAAAAAUUGAAGAACUUGAAGAUGGUUGACACACAAUUAAGGAAAUCAACAAUCAACGUUUAGUUUGAUAACUCGCAUAUCUCAAGAUAUUUAUGAGCAAUUUACGCUAAACACAACCACAAGACAAUCUCCAUAACCUAUAAAAGGAGUGUAUGGGUUCUUAACUAUAAAGAAAGCAUAUUCUUAUAUUAAACAUCCAAAUAUAGGUUGUAGUUCAUGUACGGAGAUACACUAAUAAAUUAAUUUCCUUUAGUGAAGAGAAAGGAAGGAAUGCAUCAACUUGAGUCACACAAAGAGAAACUUGAUUAACAGUGUGCUAUUAAAAAAAUUGAAGAAUGAUAGGAGACAUUUUGUUCCAACAUGUCUCUGCUAAAGAACAGACCCAGAUAGGAUGUGCUAAGAUAUGUCUUAAAUAAAUAUAACAAAAUGAUUGCUUUCCAGUCAAUAUGAUACAAAUUUAUGGCACCUAAAAAAGAGUUACAGUUCACUUUGGUUGCCAUUUUACCUCAUUAGCGGGCACAGUUGGUGCAGCCCCAGUGGAUAAGCUCUUCCUCUGCAAUGUAGUUGUUUUUAUCACAUUAAUAGAAUCAAAAUGAUAAUUCUUUUGAGUGGUCUUCUUUACCUGAGUUGAAGGUGCAGUGGACACGGAUGAAGCUCCGCUCGAUGUGCCCUUACCCUGCAAAAUAGUUAUGCAUAUCUAGUUAAAUAUGCUAAGAGCACCUAUCAAAAGCAUGACUGUCUCUGAUAAAGUUAUAUAGAGCAAUCUCUAAACCCAUCUUAAAACAUUUUGGAAUGGCUAGGAAAAUAGUUAGCCAGAUUUAAAAAGCUUCACUUAGAUAAGCCACUCCGCAGCGUGCUAGCAAUAGAAACACUGAAUAAAACAUAGGCUUCAUAUCUAGCUCUAGAUCUGGACUACUUAGAUAGGUUGUGUAGAGCUUCCAUCUUUCCCAGCGUACAUAAUAUUUCAGUUCAGUAAAUUCUCAUAUCUAUAUUUUCAUGCAAAUAGUUAUGUAAAGCAACAAAUAUACUACCAGGUUCAAGUUUUGUCAUUGAGAGGUAGACAUGCUUAAUAUAUAGUAUAUUAUCCAGUAAGCACUAAGUGGCAUGGAUUCUUCAUUAUCAUGAAUGAACUAUCUUGGCAGGGCAUGGUGAACUAAAUAAUCCAGAAUACCAAAUUAGUACUAAAGACAUAAAUCAUACCAAAAAUUUGCUAUUGUGAAUAAUAAAGUGUACCUUUGACAACAUUAUAACGAUAAAACUAUUUUCAGAAAUUUUAUUAUCAUCCAAUGUGGUAUCAUCCUUUAGAACUUUCCCUUGAUGUAUGAGCAUUUGCUGAUCGGCUGGGUACACAUUCUGGCCUUGAUUAGUCUCAAUAAUCAUUUUCACAUCGGCAACCUGCUCGAAGAAUAUUCAUGUUUAAGUUAAUGUCACUCCUACAUCAUUGUAAUACUGACAAUUAGCAACAUUACAAAGACAAUUAAUUAUCAAAAAAGGGACUCUAAACCCUAAGCCCUAAACAAACUAAACGAAUACCUCAUUCCCUGGAAAAGCAAUCCAUAAGGAAAUACGAUUUAGGGACAAUGCUAGCAAAUUGACAUUGUAUCAACAUUCAAAAAAGGGAACCAAAUUUCUACAAUAAUGGCCAAACCAAGAAUUCAAACACCAAGAAGAAGGAAGAGGCUCGCUCUCAUUCCCCAAGUUAAGCAAUGAAAGAUAGUCCAGCCAUAAAAAGGACCCAAAUUUCUCGAACUACAGUGCUCGUUCUAGGGCCCUAACUUAGAAAAUCAAAAUUUCUGCAAAUAAUCCACCUUGCGGAAAUAAAUGAUUUAUUUCCGAAAAUGUUGAAAAGAUAUCCUUCAACCUAAACUCAAUUACAACCCCUAGAUUGCUAAUCCGUUGUGCCAUGCAACUUCGUAUUCCUCGCAUUGAAUUCUACAUGAUAUUCUGACUCUAAGAACUACAUUAUCAAGCAGAUUUUACCCUAGAUUCCUCAAGAUUGGCACCCAAAAAGCCCUAAAACUUCAAAUUUGUCCCAUUGAAUUCCACAUAAUAAUCUGGCUCCAAAAACCACGCCAUUAAGCAGAUUUUAACCUAAAUUCCUCAACACUGGAUCCAAUAAAAUCGAAACCAAAUAACUAUCGGGAAUCAACGAAAGAAAUGAUCAGAGAAUCGAACGAAACCGAGAAAAAACUCUUGCAGAAAAGCGAACAAAAUCGAAGCGCAAGGGGAAUGACUACCGUGUCUUUGGGCUUCACUUCGAUCUCGAAGUUCGAACCCUUCAGCGUCUUCACGAAGAUCUUCAUGGCGCUCUCUCUCUCUCUCUCUCUCUCUCUCCCCCCUUCCCCCUUCUCUUCGCUUUCUCUCUCUCUCUCCCUCUCUCUCCGAGGGGGUGAAGAGAAAAUGGAUUUUUUUUUAAAAAAAAUAAUAAUUAGUGUAUGUUUCACUCGCCAAGUUGGAUGGAAUGCAAAUCGAGUGAUCCUGUAUUAACAUACCGACCAGCGUACAGAAUCAUUAACCAAUGAAAAAUUGCCACGUCAAUCAAUUAAUGAUACCCCACUUUAAAUUAGACUGGGCCCCCAUAACUUAGACCGGCCCUAAGUAGAAGAGUUGGGUUCGGAUUCAGGUUUAAUUUGGGCCCAAAUAUGGCCCAAAAAAGUCACAUCCAUAGCCACAUUAUCAUUUACGUGAUACAAAUUUAACCGUUUUGCAUAAAUUUAUAUCUUUUUUUUUUUUUAACAUAUCAGAGAUUCAUGCACAUUUAAUUUAAUAUAUGCAAAAUAGUCUCAUCAUUAAAUUUAUUACAUUGGACAUAAAGUAUAAGCUGGAAAUGGACAUAUGUGUUAUAUCUCCUGCAACAUGUCUCUUCUCGUUUUGAAUUUUUCUAAUUCUCAAAAAGAUACAUAUUUUUGGAUUUUUCUUAAUAAUAACUCUCUUUCAUUAAACUUACUUACAGGGAACCUCUAGCCUGUCCCGUGGCUCCACGGUCGGGCUCUGCCACAAGCAAACUUUCAAAAUUACUAUGGAAGCUGAAUGAAGCGGAUAGCGUGCUAUCUUUUUCUCAAAAAAAAAAACUAUAAAAAUAAAAAAUAAAUUCAAAAAAAAAGCUAUAUGAGUUUUUUAUUUAGAAAUUAAAAUAUUUAAUUUUAUCAUCGAUUAUUCAUUCAGUCGAUGCAUGACUAAUAUAUAUAUAUAUAUAGAGAGAGAGAGAGAGAGAGAGAGAGAGAGAGAGUGAGUCCGGCUAUGGUGCUUGUAAAAGCACCAAUCAUUUUGUGGUUGUAGGUUUUUAACUGUUAGAUCAGCACUGUUAAUCAUUUACACCCGUUAGAUUAUACUAUUUAACCAACCACCCACUCAACCCUAAGGGGUCCACAUCAUCAUAACCAUAUAUUUUUUAAUCUAAAGGCUAAAAACUUACAAGCACCAAUGNAUAUAUAUAUAUAUAUAUAUAUAUAUAUAUAUAUAUAUAUAUAUAUAUAUAUAUAUAUAUAUAUAUAUAUAUAUACACUUUCUAAGUUUAUGAUAAAUAUAUAGGCUAAAACUUGAGUACUAAUUACCAAGAAUUAGGCAAAAUUUCUGAUGAUUGUAUUUUGAUAGUCAUACACUAACAUUUUGAUUAUAAAAAAAUUUGACGCGUGUUCGAAAAAAAAAAUAAUAAUUACAAUAAAUUUAUUAUUGAUAACUUUUUAAAUCGAAAAAAUAAAUUGGGCCAAAGUGGCAUGUGAGUGUGAGAUUAUUGAUUUACAUUUAUUUCUUAAUUACUUCCAAUUUGAUGACGCGAUGGACCGAGGCUCCAUUCACCGAAUCACACAAUUGCACCUACUCGUUAAUUGCAUUUGACCCCCCAAAUAGAAAGUUUUUUUUUUUCCAAAAAAAAGGAAAAGGUGACACAGAGAAAUGCAUGCACCAACUAAAUUUAGAUUUAGAGUAGGGAUUGAAUGCAUCUCGUUCCCUUUUGAAUUCAAAUUAUUUCUUUUUGUGUAAAAAAAAGAAAAAGAAAAAGAAAAAGGGUCACAUAGAGAUAUGCAUGCACCAAUUAGAUUUAGAUUCAGAGUAGGGAUUGAAUGCAUCUUGUUCCCUUUUGAAUUCAAAUUAUUUCUUUAUUCACUCAUUUAUUUAUUUUUGAUAGAAAUAGCAACAUUUGAUCAAUGAUCAGUACAGUAUCCAAACGCUAAAAUUUUUUACAAAUCCCAUUAAGAGGUUUUGACCAACAGAGAAAAAAAAAAUAAAAGAAAAGCAAAAGUGAUUGAGAAGAUUUUUAAAAAUAAGUGCAUUUUGAUAUUAUUCCUUAUCUCGAACUUCUUUUUUGAAUUCCCGCGUGUGACAAAAAAAAAUUAGGACUAAAAUUUUAUUUUAUUUUUAUUUGGAAAUUUUAUGUUAGCGAUUUUUUAGACCUUUAGGAUUUUUCUAGGACAAAUAAAUCCCUAAAAAUCAGGAAUGUGAUUUUGAAAGUUCUAAAUUAAUAUUAGAGAUAUUUGUAUUAAAAAAAUCGCUAAAAUCUUGGGAUUUGAUUUAGAGUAUGAUUUGAAAUUUUAUUUUAUUGUAAAUAGGAUCCUAAACUUAUUGUAUAAAGAGAUUUUAGAAUUUAUUAAGUUUUUUCUUAAUUUCGCUCUCGAAAGAGAUUGGUUAAUCCUUUUUCCAUCAUUAUGCUUCUUCCCUCUCAAUGCCGUUUAGUUCUGCGUCACGCUCUCUUUUUCUUUUUCCCAACUAUUAAUUUUGUUUACCUAUAAUGGUUAGGUUUAUGCGUCACAGUCUCCUUUUCCUUUACCCAACUAUUAAUUUUGCUUACCCAUAAUGGUUUGGUUUAUGCUGGAGAAAAGAAAAGAAUAGAAUAACUUUGUUAAGAAGGAUAUCAAAAAUGGUUGUAAAAGAAACAAAAGUGUAUUACUUAAAAUGAAGAGUUUUCAACAAUUCUUAAUUAGCUUUUAUAUCAUCUUAUGCUGUAACACUAGAAGAAAAUUCCAUUAUAAGAAUAUUUUGUGGCGAUGUUUGGAAAAACAUUCCUCAAGUGUUCCCACUAUGUAACAAAUAAAUCAUCAAGAUGUUUUCAACUUUAUUUAUUGUAUCAUUGAUCGUCUCUAACGCAAAUGGUAAAAGGCUUGAUAGUUGGUACCUGAGGUCUCAAGUUCGAAUUCUAGUUGAUUUACAUUUUCGGCUAAAUUCAUUUUUAAAUAAGGACCUGUUUGGAUGCACAGUAAAAAAUCUCUACAAAAUUUAUAAACUGCAGUUUUGGUCUAGAUAAAAUAGAGAAUCUUGCAACUCUAAAAAAUUCCACGGAUUCAAUUUUUAAACUGUUUGGAUAUGUAUUAUGCAAUUUCACAGGAUUUUUCUAAAAUUUAAAAUUAAAAGUUAAAAUUUAAAAUUUAAAAUUUCAAAAAAAAUUUAAAAUAUAAAAUUUGAUAUGUGAAAUGUGAAAUUUUGAAUUUUAAAUUUUUAAAUUUGAAAUUUAAAAAUUUUAAAUUUUUAAAUUUGAAAUUUAAAAAUUUAAAAUUUAAAAUAUAAAAAUCUAAAUUUAAUUUUUAAAAUUUUAAAUUUAAAAUUUUAAAAUAAAAAAUUUUAAUUUUUAAUUUUUAAAUUUGAAAUUUAGAAUUUUAAAUUUUAAAAAUAAAUUUAAAAUUUAAAGUUUAAAAAAUAAAUUUAAAAUUUAAAGUUUAAAAUUUGAAAUUUGAACUAUGAGAUUUGAGAUUUGAAAUUUAAAAUUAAAAUUUGAAAUUUAAAAUCUAUGUUGAAAUUUAAAAUUUUAAAAUAAAAAAUUUGAAAUUUAAAAUUUAAAAUUUGAAAUUUAAAAUUUAAAGUUUAAAAAAUAAAUUUAAAAUUUAAAGUUUAAAAUUUGAAAUUUGAACUAUGAGAUUUGAAAUUUGAAAUUUAAAAUUUAAAAUUUAAAAUUUGACAUUUGAAAUUUAAAUUUUAAUUUUAAAAUUUAAACUUUGAAAUUUAAAAUUAAAAUUUGAAAUUUAAAAUCUAUGUUGAAAUUUAAAAUCUAUAUUGAAAUUUUAAAUUUUAUGUUGAAAUUUAAAAGUUGUAAUUAACUUGAUGUAUUUUUUUGAAUAAGGGAGUUCAAAAAUGGUGAAAUUUUUUACUCCAUAUUUUGGAGUAUAGUUUAACAAUAUACUCCAAAAAUUACAUUACUUUUUUUCCUCCCAAACGCUUCAUAGGAUAUUUUUCCUACCGCCGUAGCAUAGUUUAACUAUGCUACGUUUUCAAGAGUAUCCAAACGGGACCUAAAUGAAAUAAACGAAGCGAGUAACAUAUUUACCUAUCUCUCUCUCGCUCUCAAAAAAAAAAAAGAAAAAAAGAGCAUGGAAUAGGUGUUGGUACAUAUAUGACGGUUUUUUUUUUACUAAGGGACGUUUUUUGUUAUGGUGGUAGACUAAUUUGAAAAGCUUUUAAGCACCAUUAAUUGCUGGAAAAAAAAAAAAAAACAUCUUUAAAUUUUAAUUUUCUUGUAGGGUGGUAAGUGUAGAAUCUGUGAAUAAUAAAAAUGUUUUAUUUAGUUAUUGGGCAACUACUGCUUUGACCGAAUCUGAUGUUAUUAUAUCCGUUCUAUGAUUAAUAAACACUAGUUUAUUUAUAGUUUAUUAUUCUGUAAUAUUGGAGCAUAUAUUGCUAUAUUAAAGCUUCAACAAGUAUAUAUAAAAAUAAAAGGGCGAAGCAAACGCUUUACAUUAUAUGAUUUUAGGGUCAAGCCAUAUCAAAGAGCCUCUUUGUGGAGAAAUUAUUACAUGCACUAUUGCGCACCACACACCACCUCGAUCCCCUAAAUCAUCUAGGGUGGAAAAUCAUAAUUUAAAUGAAAUUCAACUUAUAAAUUUAAAAUUUCAUUCGCUUCAAAUAAAUUUUGACAUAUGCAAUUUUACGUUCAUAAUUAAUUUAGCUAUUAUAAACCAUAUCUAAGAGAUUCCAUCGGUACUUUAAUGUUAUCCUUUUUUAACUCGUGGACCUUGUUUUAUUCCUCCCUCCACCUAGUAGUUUAUACAAUAGAGGGGAUUUGCAUUAUAUAUAGUAUCCAUUUAGUGCUUCAUUGUGCACAACCUCCCCAUUUCUCCUCGCCUCUCUUGGAGCCAUGGAGAGUGUAGUACAACUAUGCUCUACCUUAGCCCUUCUCCUUUUCUUGUUCUUCUUAUUGAAGGCUACGUGGGUCACAGUCACCUGCUACUAUGUAACACCCAUGCGUAUUCGGAGAUUCAUGGCGAAGCAAGGGGUUUACGGCCCGAGGCCGCGGUUUCUCGUGGGCAAUCUCAAGGACGUCGCCGCCCUCGUCGCGAAGGCCACCGCCGCGGACAUGGAGAGCAUCAGCCACGACAUUGUCGGCCGCCUCAUGCCCCAUUACGCCCUCUGGUCCAAAAUCUACGGUAAGAGAGGGAGAGAGCGACUUACAGCAGGAUGAUUUUCUGUGCAGUUCAUUAAUGCGCGUAUAAAAGAAAAGAAAAACGGAAAUGAUACUAUAAAUUGAUUAUUGUAGGUAAGAGGUUUAUAUACUGGUACGGGAGCGAGCCGCGGCUGUGCCUGACGGAGACCGACACGAUCAAGGAGCUGCUGUCGUCGAGAUUCGUGCAGCUCACGGGGAAGUCGUGGCUGCAGCGGCAGGGGUCGAAGCACUUCAUCGGCCAGGGCCUGCUGAUGGCCAACGGCGCCAACUGGUUCCACCAGCGUCACGUCGUGGCCCCGGCCUUCAUGGCCGAUAAGCUCAAAGUACAUACAUACAUACAUACAUACAUAUACAUAUAUACACAUAUACAUAUACACGUACAUGUACACGUACACGUACAUGCGCAUUACAAACAAAGAAAGAAAAGGCGAAUGGAAGGUAGGUACCGCCGGAAUGACGUUUGAUAUUUUACCCCAUGGCAGGGCCAUGUUGGGUACAUGGUGGAGUGCACUAAGCAGGCGAUCAAGUCGCUCCGCGAAGCGAUGGAGUCGCGGGGCGACAGCGAGGUGGAGAUCGGGGGCUACCUGACCCGGCUGACGGGGGACAUCAUAGCGCGGACGGAGUUCGACAGCAGCUACGAGACCGGGAGGCAGAUCUUCCACCUCCUGGAGCGGCUGCAACGCCUCACCGCGCAGUCGAGCCGCUAUCUGUGGAUACCCGGCAGCCGGUGAGCCACAUAUUCGACUUCAGUUGUAUCCCUUUCAAUUCAUUUCCUUGUAAUUUAUUCUCCACAUCUCUGGCGUGCCCAACGCUGUCGGUCAGUUUCGGACACAGUUUGGAUUCCCACAACUGGCUCGGGAUUAUCUUAUAAAUUAAUUACAAUUUAGUUUAGUUUAAUUUAAUUAAAUAUCCAUUUGUUAUUGUUUUUUUUUUUAGAAAAAAAAAAUCUUAUUAGUAAUUUUAUAUUCGCCAGGUUCUUUCCGAGCAAGUACAAGAGAGAGAUUAGGAAGCUGAAAAGAGAGGUAGAGGGAUUGUUGAUGGGAAUAAUACAGAGCAGAAAAGAGUGGGCAGAGGUAGGGAGGACGUCAUCGUACGGGAAAGGGCUUCUGGGGAUGCUUCUCGCGGAGACGCAGAAGCAUAAGCAAAAGCAGAAGCAGGGCCAAAAUAAGGACCAGGACGGGUUGGGUUACAGUCUGCAGCUGGUGAUGGAUGAGUGUAAGACGUUCUUUUUCGCGGGCCACGAGACGUCCGCGCUGCUGCUGACGUGGACGGUGAUGCUGCUCGCGACGAAUCCGAUGUGGCAGGAGAGGGCCCGCGCAGAGGUGGCGCAGGUCUGCGGCGGCGAUCCCCCCUCCGCCGACCAGCUCCCCAGGCUCAAUCUGGUAAUUAAAUUUAAUCUAAGUAAUUAAUUAGCAUUUUAAAUAUGUUUAAUAAGGGGUUAUAGUAAUAAAAUAACCUAAUUUAAGGAAACACAUUUAGUUUCAAAAAACUUUAACUCAAUUUAAAACGUACCCUCUCUCCUUUUCUUUUUAUCUAGCAUUCUCUGGGUACAGAGUAUUUUCUAUACACUUUUCACUUAAACACUUUUAUAUUUCAACUUUUACGAGUAUUCGCUUUCCUCCCAAAACCCGAAAUUGACCUAAUAUUUUAGAAAAAUAAGUAUUUUAAUCUUUCAUGCGUAAAGCAAGUUACUUAUUCUAUAUAUUUACACUUCAAACAAGCCUAAAAGAUGGUUUCCUAAAAAGUCAUAUUUUUUAUGAUUAUGAGAAAUUAAAGUAUAAUAUAUGCAAAGGUUGUACAGAGACUAAUUAAGAUGUUUAAGUAAAAAAGAUACAAAUUAAGUCGAAACUUCCAAAUACAGAAACUACCAGUACAUUUUAGCUACUCUAAACUUAUAGAUGCAAAGGAAAAAGCUUUGGAUUAGUAAUAAACAAAAGGAGAACUCUGCUGGAAUAAAGGUAAGAAUUUUUUUUUUUUUUUUGAGAGGAAUAAAGGUAAGAAUUUUAGUUGCCCAAUUUGGUAUAGAAUCCACUCUAUAUAUCAACUUAUAAAUCAAACUCCAGUUACACUUUUAUGGAAAUUAAUGUUGUUAAAGUUAAGCAUGUUGCAAUCACAUAUAUAACUCAUUAAACAACGCCUUUUAACAAAAGGAACUCAUUGCAAAUGAUGUAAAAGAAACUUGCAAAAAAUUUUUUUUUCUUAAUCUUAUAUUGGCUCUUCUUACUAAUUACGUGCCACGUAAGUGUUACUUGCUUAAGUGUAAUGUUAUUUUUAAUGAGUAACUCCAAUAGUCAAUCGGAAGCAAUCUCAAAGUGGUUAAAUAUUAGAGUCUAAUCACUGAGUGAUAAUAAAAUUGGACUACACCAAUAUGGAGAUAUUUAAUAUAUAUAUAUAUAUAUAUAUAGAGAGAGAGAGAGAGAGAGAGAGAGAGAGCAUAUUAGGGGCACCAAAGUGACUGAUGACUUUGAAUACACCAAUUCUCCAAAAAGAGUUGGCUAAAAGGAACCAUUAGUAAAAUGGACCCUCGUGCAACUUAAUAUAUUUAUCAUAUGGUACAAAUUAAUGAUCAAAUUAUUGACAUAGUGUGUAUCAAAAGUUAAUUUUGUAGAAUUAUAAUUGUACUUCUUGUACAAGAUCAACUAAACUAAUGUCCCCAUUUUCUUUUCUUUUUGCAGCUGCAUAUGAUAAUUAAUGAGUCAUUGAGGUUGUACCCUCCCGCGACGCUUCUACCUCGAAUGGCAUUCGAAGACAUAAAGCUCGGAGACCUCCACAUUCCCAAGGGCUUAUCUGUUUGGAUUCCGGUGCUCGCGAUACACCACGACGAGGAGAUUUGGGGGAAGGACGUGCACGAAUUCAACCCCGAGAGGUUCGCGGGGCGAUCGUUUGCCCUUACUCGCAACUUCUUGCCCUUUGCUUCUGGCCCGCGUAACUGCGUGGGCCAGGCCUACGCUAUGAUGGAAGCCAAGAUCAUUCUCGCAAUGCUUCUCUCUAACUUUAGCUUCACCAUAUCGAAGAACUAUCGGCACGCCCCGAUCAACGUCCUGACCCUCAAGCCGAAGUACGGGGUGCCGGUUUACUUGACACCUCUUAGGUCGUAGAUUCUUCGGGGAAAUUGGUUGUAAAACUCCAAUUUUCCAUGUUUUCAUUUUCUCUUUUUGUCUUGUUUUCUUUUUUUCGGAAUGAGCUUGAGAAGAAUGAGACUGUUUCGCGGAGAGGAGCGUUACAUAUAUAGCUCAAAAUAGAGUGGACAAAUCUUAUAGUACUCCUUAUAUCAAAAUGCAUGGAUUCUUCCACCUUUUAUCAACUGUGUAAUCCUUUUUCUAAAGCAUAAAUUAAUUUGUUCUAACACUAAAGUUUCAGUGUAGUUUCUCUUUGGUAUAUAUCCAAACAUUUCGAUCUCUCUACGCUUCCUUGUAAUUUUGUCCUUUCCAUUGAUUUCCUUGACUAACAAGUUGAACUUCUCAUAAGGGUGAUUGACCACAUGUAUACCUGAUCAAAUUUACUUAAACAACUUGAUCAAAAGGAUAUAAAUUUUUAACACAUUUGCAAAUUAAAAUAAAGAAAUAUUAGUUUGUAACAACCAAAAGGUUUGUGGACUCAAAAAGUUUAUACCACCUAAAAGGUUAGGAAGUAGUGCAAUGCACCUUUUUAUAGCACAUAGCCUUAGUUAUAAAGCAAAGAUAUAGAUAGAUAACAAAAGAUAUAGAUAACAAAAGGAGCAGUAGCAAAGUGCUUCUCCAGUGACAUUACUGCAACACAUUUACAGUUGUAAAGCAAGGUAAUAAAACAUUAAUCCAAGGGACCUUUUGAACCACACCACAAAUAAGACCACUCUAGAGUACGAAAACCAUGGGUGCGAAUUUAAUUUUUGCUUCUCGCGAAAAGCUUGAGCAUUCAGCUUAGGAGCUGUAAAGGUUUGCGCGCCCAUCGCUUUCGAAGAAGGCAUCGACCGCGAAAAGAAAAUUCGUUCGCAAUGUUCACGCGGAACCUUAGUUGUGCAACCAUGAUGAAAAAUAAGUUUAUAAAAAGAUUAAUAUAAUUAGAGGUGUACAUUAAGGCGCUAGAGACCGAGAUUAGUGUCGAUUUUAAUAACAUAAUCGAGGCAUUAAAAGCUUUGACAGGAACCCUAUCUCCAUUAGUUUGUUUAUGUAUAAAAAUUUAACACUUAGUAGACCACUAUAGAUGAAUUUAUUCUUCAACCCCACUCUAAUUAGCUUUUGCAUUAGCACGUGUAUUCGUCGAUUAUGAUAAAGCUACUAAGGUACUGGAUCCAAUUAGCUUUUCUCGUGGGGGAUUGGUGGACUUUGAAAGUGCUUAAGUGGUUGAGUAUUUUAUUAUUUAUCAUUAUGGUUGUUUUAUCGCACAAAGCUAAGUGUAGUUAGCGACAGAGAAGAGUGGAUAAGGCACACAAGUGUUCAGAAAACAUGAUUAAGUAAAUUAAGCCUCAGUUGAUAAUUGGUGUCAUUUAGCUAAGUAUUUUUCUUUAUCGUCAAGCACUCUACUGAUAUACGUCGAUCAGUUACAUAAAAUUUGUCUUAUUGCGAAAGAGAACAAUAAUACUGAACGAGAAAAAAGCCUGAAACUUUUUUAACUGUUUUAGAUGUGAUGUGACACCGACAAUUUAAUAUACUCCACUCGCGGUGAUGUAUCUCAAAUCUAGACACAGUAAUUACUACAGAGUACAACAAGGAAAUAUAACUUCUUUUUUUUUUUUUUUUGAAUGAAAUGACAAAAGUAUAACUCCACAUAUACAACCCUUUUAAGCCUUAUUUGAAAAUAUUUUUUCAACAACAGCUGCUUAAAUGAUUUAAAGUUCUAGAAAAUCCUAAAAACUUUAGAAUCCACUCAUUCAAUAAUCCAAAGCUAUGGCAAAAUGCUUUUUUGGACCAAAAAAGAUGCUUUUUUGACAUGAUGAUUUUUUUGACAAAAAAAAAAGUUUUACUACAAUUUUGUACCACGUUGAGGUCUAAAGUGCUUUGAUUGUUAUUACUAUUUUAGAGCUCUAAUGUUUUUUUUUUUUUUUUUUUUUGAGAGAGAGAUAGGCAGCACGCUACCCGCUUCGUUUAUUUCAUUCAGAAAUAAACUUAGCUGAAAAUGUAAAUCAACUAGGAUUCGAACUUGAGUCUCGGAUACCAACCACCAAAUCCUCUGCCACUUGCACGCUACCCGCUUCGUUUAUUUCAUUUUAGAGCUCUAAUGUUAGAGCAACUAUUUUGAGAAAAUUAGGGUUUACUCGGUCAAAAGUUAGAGAAAACUAGAGGUUCCUUCAGCUGUGAAAAAAAUUAAAGGAGCCUAUUUUCAUAUAAAACUCAUGAUCUAAUUAAGAGAAACAGGGUUAGAGUUUCCAAUUGGUGGAGUUUGAUUACAUUAGGUUUAGGUAUUUAGGAACUCUUAUUGUUUCAAGCCAAACGCUAAUUUUUAUUGUUUUUAUAGUCUUUAAAUUGUCUUUUUAUUGCUUCGAUUUUUUUUUUUUGAGAGAGAGAUCGUGCUAACUGCUUCGUUUAUUUCAUUUAGAAAUAAAUUUAUGUGAAAAUAUGAAUCAGCUCGGAUUCGAACUUGGGACUUCGAAUAUCAAUCACCAAAUCCGUUGCCACUUGCACCAGGGACGGUCGGUUGCUUUGAUUAUUGUUACAAGCUUUCUUCAAUUUGAAGCCAAAGAUGAAAUUUAAGUAAGUUUGUUUGUUAUUCGAGUAUCCUCGAGUACUGCAUGGGAUAACUUAAAAGCUAAAAAAGUUGUCGUCCCGGGGGAUGCGCCCCAAAGCCAAGCACAGUUGUGAUGAAUGAUUGAAUGGUAAAUGCUUUGGGUCCUUUGUAAAGAGUUGCUUUCAUAUUGACGUAUCUAUACAGCAUGCUAAAUUAUAAAGUACGAACAUUUUUAAGUGCAUCUACAAUUUAUAAAAGUGAUACUCUGAAGAGAGACCUGUAACACAUACUCCCAUAAAUAUCUUCAGCACACGCAUCAAUUAAUAUCGUAGAACUUCAAUUGUUGAACACUCGCUGUUCUUAUUUGCUUUCGAAUAUAACAGUCCUCUCUCUCUCUCUCUCUCUCUCUCUCUCUCUCUCUCUCUCUCUCCCUGCAGUUAGAUUUAUUUUUUAAUUAUUUUCACCCGUUUGAUCAUAUUAUUUAACCAACAACCCAUUCAAUCCGGAGGACCACUAUUAUCCUAACCGCACAUUUAUUUAUCCAACGGUUGAAAACUUAUAAGUACAAAUGAUCGAGUUUAUAUUCAUAAGAAUAUAAUAUUCCUAGCCUGCAUAUAUAUAUAUAUAUAUAGUGUAAAAAAAAAUCACAUAAAAUUGUGUAUAUAUAUAUAUCAACUUGGAGAAGUAGUGUACUCAAAAUAUUACAAGCAUCUUUUUACGUGGGAACCUAAAGCAUUCAUCAAAGCAAAAUCGUGGACAUGCAAUAACUGGAACCAAGGAAAGAUACUAAGAAACACUUGUGCUGUGUCAUAACCCGGACAAGAUAGAAAGUAAGUUGGAAGCAUAGGUUCGCCAUGUCUCGCCCUGCUUAAUUUGCGCCAGCUAGCUUGAGAGCGAAAGGCUCUCGAUCUCUCUCUCUCUCUCUUUCUCUCCCUCCUCCUCCUCUUUUCCCGUACAUUUUAAGGUACAUAUUGCGCAAAUUAAUUGUACCUCGUUUCAUCAGUGGAGGAGACCAACGAGUUCCAUGCGUAUAUAGUAGCCCACUUAGAUAUAUAAAUUCACCAUCAUCAUGCAUGAUCAGUUGAUUGAUUGGUUUUGCGUCAAUAUGAUGGUUCUUUGGACCAAACUCUAGAUUUAAUUAAUUAAUCCGUGAAUUAAUUGUAAAUGUUAAUUCUAUUCUUGUUUUUAAGGUGUACUUAAUUAUAUGCACAUAUCAGAAGAUUCACUCAGAUUUUGUUGAUUAGUCCAGCAGACAAGGUUUAAAGUGGCACGGUACAGGAGGAUCUCGGACCCCCCUCUGUGCCACGGCAUGCAGCGCCGUGCCGGACGAGACAGAGCGGCACGGCGUAGCGUCCCACGGCACAAUAUUGUAUCGGCACUAUGCUAUUUUUUUUAUUUUUUUAUUUUUUUUAUUUUUUUUUUGUUUUGUUCUUUGAUAUAUCCAAAAUAUUUUGAGUACUUUACACAUUUUCAAAAACAUUGCAAAUCGAAAAUUUAUUUAUUAGGUAAGUUAAAAAAUUAUGAUUUAAUUUUUUUUGCUUAUCAAUAUAUGGAUAAAAGAUUUGUUCGAACUCUCCGCUUCUACCAGAGAUAUCUAUUUUUUCGCAAAGCGAAAUUUUUGACGAAUUAACAGAACAAAAUCAAACUCAAUAAAUAAAUUUUGAGUCACACCAAAUAUGAAAUUUUAUUUUUGCGCUAAAAGAGUGAAAAUAGUGAUAAAAUUAAAAGCUAAAUUAAAUCAAUUAAUACUUAAAUUUAUUUAAUUUAUUUGUCAUAUAAUUUAUUGCUUAAUUUUUUUUAUAGAUCUACUAUUUUUUAAAAAAUAAUUAAUUAAAAAUAAUUUUUUAAAUAAUUUUUUAAAUUUUAUUUUAUAAAGAAAAGACCGUAAUAUGGUCAAAAGAAAAAGAAAAAAAAAUAAAAUGUCUUUACAUUUUUAAAAUUUUAACAUAUAAAAAUUUCUAUUCUGUAUAAGAUAUAAUUGUAUUUUACAUAUAGAAAAGCUUACAAAUAUAUUGAUUGAUAAGUAUAAUAAGGAGUCCGGCUGCUAUGCUAUCGAUAGCACCAAGCACUUGGUGCUAUCAAGUUUUCUGCCGUUAGAUUAAUCCCUUUGAUUAUUUUUACCCGUUAGAUUAUACUAUUCAACCAACUACCCACUCAACUCUAGGGGACCCACAUCAUCCUAACCGUAUAUUUCUCAAUCCAAGGGCUAAAAAUUCAAUAGCACCAAUAACUUGAUACUAUUGAUAGUAUUUCAGCCUAGUUCGUAUAAUAAGUUAUAUAUGUAGUAAAUAUUCAUAAUUAUUUAAUUAAAUUUUUUAAAAUAAUAUUAUAAGAGUUUAUUGAAAUCAAAAAAACUGAAAUAAGUCUGUGCCAAAGCGUGCCGGUACGCAAGCAUACCAUGUGUCGGCACGAAAGCGUGCCGGUACAGUACCGUACCAGGCAAAUAGCGGCACGCCCCACUGCCACCGCAUUUUAAACUUUACGAGCAGAUACCGCUGUGUCGUCUGU